rnacentral:rRNA from 1 species
AGUGAACGCUGGCGGUAGGCCUAACACAUGCAAGUCGAACGGCAGCACAGUAAGAGCUCGCUCUUACGGGUGGCGAGUGGCGGACGGGUGAGGAAUACAUCGGAAUCUACUUUUUCGUGGGGGAUAACGUAGGGACACUUACGCUAAUACCGCAUACGACCUACGGGUGAAAGCAGGGGAGCUUCGGACCUUGCGCGAUUGAAUGAGCCGAUGUCGGAUUAGCUAGUUGGCGGGGUAAAGGCCCACCAAGGCGACGAUCCGUAGCUGGUCUGAGAGGAUGAUCAGCCACACUGGAACUGAGACACGGUCCAGACUCCUACGGGAGGCAGCAGUGGGGAAUAUUGGACAAUGGGCGCAAGCCUGAUCCAGCCAUGCCGCGUGGGUGAAGAAGGCCUUCGGGUUGUAAAGCCCUUUUGUUGGGAAAGAAAAGCAGCAGGUUAAUACCCCGCUGUUCUGACGGUACCCAAAGAAUAAGCACCGGCUAACUUCGUG